rnacentral:rRNA from 1 species
GUAGGGAAUCUUCCACAAUGGGCGCAAGCCUGAUGGAGCAACACCGCGUGAGUGAAGAAGGGUUUCGGCUCGUAAAGCUCUGUUGUUAGAGAAGAACGUGCGUGAGAGCAACUGUUCACGCAGUGACGGUAUCUAACCAGAAAGUCACGGCUAACUACGUGCCAGCAGCCGCGGUAAUACGUAGGUGGCAAGCGUUAUCCGGAUUUAUUGGGCGUAAAGCGAGCGCAGGCGGUUUGAUAAGUCUGAUGUGAAAGCCUUUGGCUUAACCAAAGAAGUGCAUCGGAAACUGUCAGACUUGAGUGCAGAAGAGGACAGUGGAACUCCAUGUGUAGCGGUGGAAUGCGUAGAUAUAUGGAAGAACACCAGUGGCGAAGGCGGCUGUCUGGUCUGCAACUGACGCUGAGGCUCGAAAGCAUGGGUAGCGAACAGGAUUAGAAACCCCAGUAGUCC